rnacentral:rRNA from 1 species
AGGACGAACGCUGGCGGCGUGCUUAACACAUGCAAGUCGAACGGAAAGGCCCGCUUGCGGGUACUCGAGUGGCGAACGGGUGAGUAACACGUGGGCAACCUGCCCUCAGCUCUGGGAUAACUCCGGGAAACCGGUGCUAAUACUGGAUAUCGACUUCUGCCUCGCAUGGGGUGUUGUUGAAACGUUUUUCGGCUGGGGAUCGGGCCCGCGGGCCUAUCAGCUUGUUGGUGGGGUGAUGGCCUACCAAGGCGACGACGGGUA